AUUGAACGCUGGCGGCAGGCCUAACACAUGCAAGUCGAACGCGUGGCAGACGGGUGAGUAAUGUCUGGGAAAUUGCCUGAUGGAGGGGGAUAACUACUGGAAACGGUAGCUAAUCCCGCAUACCAUCAGAUGUGCCCAGAUGGGAUUAGCUAGUUGGUGGGGUAAUGGCUCACCAAGGCGACGAUGCCUAGCUGGUCUGAGAGGAUGAACAGCAACACUGGAACUGGGAGACGGUCCAGACUCCUACGGGAGGCAGCAGUGGGGAAUAUUGCACAAUGGGCGCAAGCCUGAUGCAGCCAUGCCGCGUGUAUGAAGAAGGCCUUCGGGUUGUAAAGUUCUUUCAGCGGGGAGGCGUUACCCGCAGAAGAAGCGCCGGCUAACUCCGUGCCAGCAGCCGCGGUAAUAC
rnacentral:rRNA from 1 species